AUUGAACGCUGGCGGCAGGCCUAACACAUGCAAGUCGAGCGGCAGCGGGAGAAAGCUUGCUUUCUUGCCGGCGAGCGGCGGACGGGUGAGUAAGGUAUGGGGAUCUGGCCGAAGGCGGGGGAUAACCACUGGAAACGGUGGCUAAUACCGCAUAAUCUCUAAGGAGCAAAGUGGGGGACCUUCUGGCCUCACACCUUCGGAUGAACCCAUAAGAGAUUAGCUAGUAGGUGGGGUAAAGGCUCACCUAGGCGACGAUCUCUAGCUGGUCUGAGAGGAUGAUCAGCCACACUGGGACUGAGACACGGCCCAGACUCCUACGGGAGGCAGCAGUGGGGAAUAUUGCACAAUGGGCGCAAGCCUGAUGCAGCCAUGCCGCGUGUAUGAAGAAGGCCUUCGGGUUGUAAAGUACUUUCAGUCGUGAGGAAGGUGUUAAGGUUAAUAGUCUUAGCAAUUGACGUUAGCGACAGAAGAAGCACCGGCUAACUCCGUGCCAGCCGCCGCCGUAAAAC
rnacentral:rRNA from 1 species